rnacentral:rRNA from 1 species
UACGGAGGGUGCGAGCGUUGUCCGGAAUCAUUGGGCGUAAAGGGCGCGUAGGUGGCUUCUUAAGCGUGCGGUGAAAGCCUGGGGCUCAACCCCGGGUCGGCCGUGCGAACUGGGGGGCUGGAGCACUGUAGAGGCAGGCGGAAUUCCGGGUGUAGCGGUGGAAUGCGUAGAGAUCCGGAAGAACACCGGUGGCGAAGGCGGCCUGCUGGGCAGUUGCUGACACUGAGGCGCGAAAGCGUGGGGAGCGAACAGG